rnacentral:rRNA from 1 species
CUACGGGACGCUGCAGUGGGGAAUCUUAGACAAUGGGGGAAACCCUGAUCUAGCCAUGCCGCGUGAGUGACGAAGGCCUUAGGGUCGUAAAGCUCUUUCGCUGGGGAAGAUAAUGACUGUACCCAGUAAAGGAACCCCGGCUAACUCCGUGCCAGCAGCCGCGGUAAUACGGAGGGGGUUAGCGUUGUUCGGAAUUACUGGGCGUAAAGCGCGCGUAGGCGGACUGGAAAGUUGGGGGUGAAAUCCCGGGGCUCAACCCCGGAACGGCCUCCAAAACUAUCAGUCUAGAGUUCGAGAGAGGUGAGUGGAAUUCCGAGUGUAGAGGUGAAAUUCGUAGAUAUUCGGAGGAACACCAGUGGCGAAGGCGGCUCACUGGCUCGAUACUGACGCUGAGGUGCGAAAGCGUGGGGAGCAAACAGGAUUAGAUACCCUCGUAGUC